GGAGUCUGGACCGUGUCUCAGUUCCAAUGUGGCUGUUCGUCCUCUCAGACCAGCUAUAGAUCGUCGGCUUGGUAGGCCUUUACCCCACCAACUACCUAAUCUUCCGCGGGCCAAUCUUUCGGCAAUAAAUCUUUCCCCCUUAGGGCUUAUGCGGUAUUAGCAGAAGUUUCCCUCUGUUGUCCCCACCAAAAGGCAUGUUCCCACGUGUUACUCACCAGUGCGCUACUCUCAUUGCUUAUAGCAAGCUACAAACAAAUCCCGUUCAACUUGCAUGUGUUAAGCCUGCCGCCAGCGUUCGUU
rnacentral:rRNA from 1 species